AUUUCGAGAAAAAUUAGAAUCCUGCGCUUCAAUUAAUCGCCGCAGAAAGAUACCGUCGCAUUGGAAAUACCUAUAGAGAAGGCAAGAGAGGACGUUUGUUGCUGGCUUUCUUGUAGAUUUAAGCUGACUGAUGUUCGGUGACGGAAUCUGCGGUUCUGCGACCUUCGCGGCCGGCUCGGUGGCAUCCGUACCUGUGCUGGAAUCUGCGACCUUCGCAACAAGCUGUACCGUACCGUCGAAUGGAGGCACUGCAGGUGUUGUUGGCUUCGUCGGGCAGGCUUCCCCCCAGGCAUACGCUUAUCGGGGCAUGCCCUGAGGGGAGCCUCCUUGAAGGUUAAGCUGCCUGAGGGCAUGUCGUCCUUGGAAACAUGGUUCCAGGUAAACUACAAAAACUUGUUUUUUUUCACCAAUAAACAAAAUGUAAUAUGAGAAAUCACCCCACACGAACCAGAGUACGGGCCACCGAAAGAUUUGUUCAUAGGAAAACUGGUUCCUGAAAACUGAUUUCUUUUACCAAGAAUUUUUAUUUGGAAGAACUCAGGAAUAAAAAAAUCCGAUUUGUAACAGAGUC